AUACGGAGGGGGCUAGCGUUGUUCGGAAUUACUGGGCGUAAAGCGCGCGUAGGCGGCUUGCCAAGUUGGGCGUGAAAGCCCGGGGCUCAACCCCGGAAUUGCGCUCGAAACUGGCAGGCUAGAGACCGGGAGAGGAGAGUGGAAUUCCCAGUGUAGAGGUGAAAUUCGUAGAUAUUGGGAAGAACACCAGUGGCGAAGGCGGCUCUCUGGACCGGACCUGACGCUGAGGCGCGAAAGCGUGGGGAGCAAACAGGAUUAGAAACCCCAGUAGUCC
rnacentral:rRNA from 1 species